rnacentral:rRNA from 1 species
UACGUAGGUGGCAAGCGUUGUCCGGAAUUAUUGGGCGUAAAGCGCGCGCAGGUGGUUUCUUAAGUCUGAUGUGAAAGCCCACGGCUCAACCGUGGAGGGUCAUUGGAAACUGGGGAACUUGAGUGCAGGAGAGAAGGGUGGAAUUCCACGUGUAGCGGUGAAAUGCGUAGAGAUGUGGAGGAACACCAGUGGCGAAAGCACUCUGCUGGGCCGACACUGACACUGAGAGACGAAAGCUAGGGGAGCGAAUGGG